AAUCAGCGGGGCCGCGUGGAGGUGUCGGCGCAGAGAGAGGGCCGGGGCCCGGCUUCCGGUGGCAGGGUCUCGGGUGAGGGGCGGUGUCGCCAUGUCCGGCCGCGAAGGUGGCAAGAAGAAGCCCUUGAAGCAGCCCAAGAAGCAGGCCAAGGAGAUGGACGAGGAAGAUAAGGCAUUCAAGCAGAAGCAGAAAGAGGAGCAGAAGAAACUCGAGGAGCUAAAAGCGAAGGCUGCGGGGAAAGGCCCCCUGGCCACAGGUGGAAUUAAGAAAUCUGGCAAAAAGUAAGAUGUUCCUUGUGCCUGAGGCAAUGGUGGUCCUUAAUUCCAUUCGUAUUUCAACAUGUGGAUUCUCUGCCAUAGUAUCUUUCGACGCCAAUAGCUAGAAUGAAGUGUCUUGGAGCCUGUUGUACAUUUAAGAAUAAACUUUUGUAAAAAAAAAAAAUAAUAAUAAAAUAAGAAGUCAUACACUGGCUCAUCUUUAGUUCUUCUCACUUAGCCAUUUCUACCUUACCUGUGAGGUCAGAGAAAACCCAGUGUAGAAUCCUGCCAAAGUGUGCUCAUCUUCAUCUUUGUUCUAUCUUGAAUUCUGUACUACCUGGAAUUAAACCAACUCGUUUGAAAUGACUGUCAGUUUUGCGUGGUUAUAUACU